rnacentral:rRNA from 1 species
UUUGCCCUACGGGACGCAGCAGUGAGGAAUAUUGGUCAAUGGUCGGGAGACUGAACCAGCCAAGCCGCGUGAGGGAAGACGGUCCUAUGGAUUGUAAACCUCUUUAGGCGGGGAGCAAUGCCGGGCACGCGUGCCCGGAGGGAGAGUACCCGCAGAAUAAGCAUCGGCUAACUCCGUGCCAGCAGCCGCGGUAAUACGGAGGAUGCGAGCGUUAUCCGGAUUUAUUGGGUUUAAAGGGUGCGCAGGCGGAAGAUCAAGUCAGCGGUAAAAUUGAGAGGCUAAACCUCUUCGAGCCGUUGAAACUG